rnacentral:rRNA from 1 species
CAAUAGCGUAUAUUAAAGUUGUUGCAGUUAAAAAGCUCGUAGUUGGAUUUCUGGUGGGAGCGAUCGGUCUGGCGCUUAGCGCGAGUACUUGCAUCGUCUCCGGCCAUCCUUGGGGAGAGUCUGUCUGGCAUUAGGUUGUCGGGCAGAGGAUCCUCAUCGUUUACUGUGAAAAAAUUAGAGUGUUCAAAGCAGGCUUAUGCCGUUGAAUAUAUUAGCAUGGAAUAAUAAGAUAGGACUUUGGUACUAUUUUGUUGGUUUGCGCACCAAAGUAAUGAUUAAUAGGGACAGUUGGGGGUAUUAGUAUUCCGUUGUCAGAGGUGAAAUUCUUGGAUUUACGGAAGACGAACUACUGCGAAAGCAUUUACCAAGGAUGUUUUCAUUAA